ACAGAGCAAGAGUAUGUCCAUGACGACAGGUAAGAGCGUGGUCGGUAAGGAAGGCCUAUGGUUAUUAGUGGUGACUGUGGAGACCUUGACUUCCAUGUUUACCUAUCCCAUACCCUUGAGACCCAUUUAGUCUCCUCUCUCUCUCGUUAUGAAAAAAGCAGCAAUCUUUCUUCAGUUAAAAGAAAUAAAAUGGGCAAAGCCAGGAGAAAAUAAGUGGUUGCUUCUUCACAAUAAAAGCUGAAUGCAUUGCAGAACAGAAGGAAAUGCAUAGCCUGACCGUACAGAUAUUCUGAUUCUAACUCCAAAGCUAAUUGUUGCUGGUUUCACAUUGUAUGGAGUCCCUCUGGCAGAGUGUGUAACACCAGGAGUAAGAGCAAUUAAAAUUAAUUCAACGGUACUCCAGUGGGGAAGCGCUACUAGUACACGAAAUAGAACAUAAGAAAAUUUUACCUGCCCUGCUGGACAAGGAUGUCCUACUACCAAUUUGACUUUUGAAGGAAAUUUAACUAUUUGGAGGGUAAGAAGAGAGCAUCGUUAUGUUCAGUUACUAGAUGACAGACAAGCUACGGUAAUAAUUCAAAAUUACACAAAUAUAAAAUGUUGUAAUUGUAAAUAUGAACAGACAUACCGAGAGAAUUGGUACUUUUGCCAGAAUGGAACUGAUAUUUAUAAUAAAUAAAUUGAUUUACAAAACAUUACAGUAUUGUUUGGUAUGAAUGCAACUCAGAUUAUAAAUGGAAUAUGGGCCUCUCAAAUAAUUAUAUUGAACAACCACUCCAGGGCUCACUGUGACUAAAUAAUUAAAGUGUCUUCUACAUCUAAAUAUGUAGGACAAACAUAUCAAAAAAACUGUACUAUAUUUUAAUGUUACUUUUCCAAAAAACAGUAAAUGUAGACAGAAAUGAGCUUGGUAUAGUACCUUAUUAGGAGGUAUUAGUACAGGGUUAGGAACUUUAAAUGCCAUUGAUGUUGAAGUCGUAGCUAAUAAAAUCAAAACUGUGGGUCAGAAUGUUUCACAAGUUAUACAUUUACAAGCACAGUGGAAUCCUACAGUUUGGCAUACCCAAAAACAGCUAGUUAGUUAUGAGAAAGAAUUUUUGGAUCAAUUUAAUGCUUCUGUAGUUCAUAAUUUGAAAUUUGACAAAAAUGUUACUAGGUUUGUAAACUGGACAAUGUGCUUUACAAUCUUUUUAUGUUUCAAUACAGAAGAAUUUUGUGCAGACAAAAUUAAUGGUUAAUAAUGAAUGUAUAUGGAGACAAUUAUUUAACAAAUGGAUACCUAAUACUAAUUGGUUAAGUCUGUUUUCUGAAAAAAACAAGAUGCACAGAUAAUUUUUGUACAGUUUAUAUCAUGCAUUAUAAUGUCACAAAUGCAAAAAUAAUGUGUCAGUUUGUAACCUUGCCAUUGGUAUUCGGACCUCCUGUGUAUCCAUUCCAGUAUUGGUUACCUCAUGUAGAAGGAAAUUAUAUUGAUUUCUCGAACAGAACACACAAACUGGAAAACUGUACUGAAAUGAUGGGUGGACUUGUUUUUGGACAACAUUCCUCUAUGUAUGAACCGUGUUUUCUUCAGUAUUCCAUCAGCAUCUGCAAAUUGACUAUAUUACCUCCCAUGUUUGAAAUGUUUGUAGAAAUAGCACCUCAAUGUAUAUGCUUAGUGACAAACCAAACAUUAUUGUAUGUUUUAAUGCAUCCUUUUGUAAGUUGUUUAGAUAAUGUAACUCAUUUACAUUGGCACAAUAAAACUUAUGUCUUUUCUCCUGAAA